ensembl:processed_transcript
GAAACUGGAAACUGAAGCAGAGGUGGUUUUUCACUUCCUUACACUCUUGCCAGCAUUAGCCACACCCUGGUGUCUCUCAGCCAGUUUAAGCUGGUGUUAAGGUAGACAAGCAGACUGGUUAAGACCACCAACACUAAAUGAAGUUGUUUGUCAAGGACAUCUUAGGAGGAAGAGAAUACAGAUACCGGACAUUUUCUUUACUAAAAUGGACAGGUUUUUUUUUCUUUUUUCCUUUUAAACGAUUUUUUAUGUAGAAGAAGUUUGAAAAUUUGGAGGCAGCACCGGCUUUUUUUAAAUGAAGAAUGGUGUAUAUGAACUGAGUCUGUCUGCAUGAUGCAGCUCUGAUAUUUCUUGGUACGUUCAUUUAAGUAGCUUCUCAUAUUCAGUGUCCUUGUUCCCAUUCACAGAAAACACAUCCUGUACUGGCUAGUUUUGUGUCAACUUGACACAGCUGGAGUUAUCACAGAGAAAGGAACUUCAGUU